GAUGAACGCUGGCGGCGUGCCUAACACAUGCAAGUCGAACGGUCACUUCGGUGAUAGUGCGGACGGGUGAGUAACGCGUAAGAAUCUACCCUUAGGACGGGGACAACAACUGGAAACGGUUGCUAAUACCCGAUGUGCAGAGAUGUGAAAACUAAUUGGCCUAGGGAAGAGCUUGCGUCUGAUUAGCUAGUUGGUGUGGUAAGAGCGCACCAAGGCGACGAUCAGUAGCUGGUCUGAGAGGAUGAGCAGCCACACUGGGACUGAGACACGGCCCAGACUCCUACGGGAGGCAGCAGUGGGGAAUUUUCCGCAAUGGGCGAAAGCCUGACGGAGCAACGCCGCGUGAGGGAGGAAGGUCUUUGGAUUGUAAACCUCUUUUCUCAAGGAAGAAGUCAGUGACGGUACUUGAGGAAUAAGCAUCGGCUAACUUCGUG
rnacentral:rRNA from 1 species